GUCUAUGGCCAUACAACCCUGAACAAGCCUGAUACCAUCUGAUCUCAGAAGCUAAGCAGCGUCGGGCCUGGUUAGUCCUUGGAUGGGAGACCACCUAGGAAGACCAGGUGCUGUAGGCG
rnacentral:rRNA from 1 species